UGCCCAGUGACAUCUGUUUAAACGGCCGCGGUAUCCUAACCGUGCAAAGGUAGCAUAAUCACUUGUUCUCUAAAUAAGGACUUGUAUGAAUGGCCACACGAGGGUUUAACUGUCUCUUACUUCUAAUCAGUGAAAUUGACCUUCCCGUGAAGAGGCGGGAAUAACAAAAUAAGACGAGAAGACCCUAUGGAGCUUCAAUUAAUCAAUUCACUAAAGUAUAAACUUCCAACCUACCAGGCAUAAAAAACUUUAACUGAAUUCGACAAUUUCGGUUGGGGUGACCUCGGAGAACAAAAAAACCUCCGAGUGAUUAAAGCUUAGACUAACCAGUCAAAGCACUACAUCACUUAUUGAUCCAAAUUAUUGAUCAACGGAACAAGUUACCCUAGGGAUAACAGCGCAAUCCUAUUCUAGAGUCCAUAUCGACAAUAGGGUUUACGACCUCGAUGUUGGAUCAGGACAUCCCAAUGGUGCAACCGCUAUUAAUGGUUCGUUUGU
rnacentral:rRNA from 1 species